GGAAGGCAGCCGGAUACGGUUGGCCGGACCGCUUUGCUAAAGCGGCUCUCUGAAAACGGAGAUGAGGGUUCGACUCCCUCGCCUUCCG
rnacentral:tRNA from 1 species